rnacentral:rRNA from 1 species
CAUGCAAGUCACGGGGGCCAGCAAUGGCAACCGGCGAACGGGUGCGUAACACGUGAGCAACCUACCGAAAUGAGGGGGAUAGCCGUCCCAACGGACGGGUAAUACCGCAUACGCUCGAGACCAGGCAUUUGGACUCGAGGAAACCUCCGGGGCAUUUCGAGGGGCUCGCGGCCUAUCAGCUAGUUGGUGAGGUAACGGCUCACCAAGGCGACGACGGGUAGCUGGUCUGAGAGGAUGGCCAGCCACAUUGGGACUGAGAUACGGCCCAGACUCCUACGGGAGGCAGCAGUGGGGAAUCUUGCGCAAUGGCCUAACGGCUGACGCAGCGACGCCGCGUGAGGGAUGACGUUCUUCGGAGUGUAAACCUCUUUUGCCUGAGACGAAUUGUCAGCUUUAGCUGAUUUGACUGUAUCGGGUGAAUAAGCACCGGCUAACUCCGUGCCAGCAGCCGCGGUAAUACGGGGGGUGCGAGCGUUGUCCGGAAUCACUGGGCGUAAAGGGCGCGUAGGUGGCCUGAUAAGGGUGUGGUGAAAGUCCGGGGCUCAACCCCGGAUCGGCCGUGCCGACUGUUAGGCUAGAGUACUGUAGGGGCAGGCGGAAUUCCGGGUGUAGCGGUGGAAUGCGUAGAGAUCCGGAGGAAGACCGGUGGCGAAGGCGGCCUGCUGGGCAGUUACUGACACUGAGGCGCGACAGCGUGGGGAGCAAACAGGAUUAGAUACCCUGGUAGUCCACGCCGUAAACGAUGGGUACUAGGUGCCUGGGGGAGCGACCCCUUGGGUGCCGGCGCUAACGCAGGAAGUACCCCGCCUGGGGAGUACGGCCGCAAGGCUGAAACUCAAAGGAAUUGACGGGGGCCCGCACAAGCGGUGGAGCAUGUGGUUUAAUUCGACGCAACGCGAAGAACCUUACCUAGGCUUGACAUGCAUGGGAAACUCCUCAGAAACGAGGAGCCUCCUUCGGGAUCCAUGCACAGGUGCUGCAUGGCUGUCGUCAGCUCG